GCAUGCAGUCGAACGCGAAAGGGGGCGACUCCAAGUAGCGUGGCGAAAGGGGUACCUANUGCAUAGGCAACCUACCUUCGAACCUGGGAUAUACGGUUGAAAAACCGGGCAAUACUGGACGUCGUUUCGAGUGGGCAUCCACUGGAAUCGAAAGGUCCGCCGUUCGGAGAGGGGCUUAUGUCCUAUCAGCUAGUUGGCGGGGUAACGGCCCACCAAGGCUUAGACGGGUAGGGGGUGUGAGAGCACGAUCCCCACCACUGGCACUGAGACACUGGCCAGACUCCUACGGGAGGCUGCAGUCGAGAAUCUUCGGCAAUGGGCGAAAGCCUGACCGAGCGACGCCGCGUGGAGGAUGAAGGCCUUCGGGUUGUAAACUCCUGUUGGGGGGGAACAAUAAAUGAGUGACCCCCUGAGGAAGCACGGGCUAAGUUCGUGCCAGCAGCCGCGGUAAGACGAACCGUGCGAACGUUAUUCGGAAUCAUUGGGCUUAGAGAGCGCGUAGGCGGCGACGUAAGUUGGAAGUGAAAUCCCAUCGGCUCAACCGUGGAAUUGCUCCCAGUACUGCGUUGCUCGAGGGAGAUAGAGGACUGUGGAACUGCCGGUGGAGCGGUGAAAUGUGUUGAUAUCGGCGGGAACGCCAGUGGCGAAAGCGACAGUCUGGACCUCUUCUGACGCUGAGGCGCGAAAGCUAGGGNUAGCGAACGGGAUUAGAUACCCCGGUAGUCCUANCCUUAAACGAUGGGCACNUGGGUAGAAAAGUGUA
rnacentral:rRNA from 1 species